AUCGCUUCUCGCCUUUUGGCUAAGAUCAAGUGUAGUAUCUGUUCUUAUCAGUUUAAUAUCUGAUACGUCCCCUAUCGGGGACCAUAUAUUAAAAUUGAUUUUUGGAAUAGGGAGAUGGAAUAGGGGCUUGCUCCGUCCACUCCACGCAUCGACCUGGAUUGCAGUACCCCCAGGAACGGUGCACCCCCU
rnacentral:snRNA from 1 species